rnacentral:rRNA from 1 species
GACGAACGCUGGCGGCGUGCUUAACACAUGCAAGUCGAGCGGUAAGGCCCUUUCGGGGGUACACGAGCGGCGAACGGGUGAGUAACACGUGGGUGACCUGCCCUCAGCUCUGGGAUAAGCCUGGGAAACCGGGUCUAAUACUGGAUAUGACUCCAUGACGCAUGUUGUGGGGUGAAAGCCUUGUGCGGCUGAGGAUGGGCCCGCGGCCUAUCAGCUUGUUGGUGGGGUGANGGCCUACCAAGGCGACGACGGGUAGCCGGCCUGAGAGGGCGACCGGCCACACUGGGACUGAGACACGGCCCAGACUCCUACGGGAGGCAGCAGUGGGGAAUCUUGCGCAAUGGGCGAAAGCCUGACGCAGCGACGCCGCGUGAGGGAUGAUGGCCUGG